AGAGUUUGAUCCUGGCUCAGGAUGAACGCUGGCGGCAUGCCUAAUACAUGCAAGUCAAACGAGAGGAAGGAGAGCUUGCUUUCCUGAAUCUAGUGGCGAACGGGUGAGUAACACGUAGGUAACCUGCCCAUGUGCCCGGGAUAACUUCUGGAAACGGAUGCUAAAACCGGAUAGGUAGCAGACAAGCAUUUGACUGCUAUUAAAGUGGCUAAGGCCAUGAACAUGGAUGGACCUGCGGUGCAUUAGCUAGUUGGUGAGGUAACGGCCCACCAAGGCGACGAUGCAUAGCCGGCCUGAGAGGGCGGACGGCCACAUUGGGACUGAGACACGGCCCAAACUCCUACGGGAGGCAGCAGUAGGGAAUUUUCGUCAAUGGGGGGAACCCUGAACGAGCAAUGCCGCGUGAGUGAGGAAGGUCUUCGGAUCGUAAAGCUCUGUUGUAAGAGAAAAACGACAUUCAUAGGGAAUGAUGAGUGAGUGAUGGUAUCUUACCAGAAAGUCACGGCUAACUACGUGCCAGCAGCCGCGGUAAUACGUAGGUGGCGAGCGUUAUCCGGAAUGAUUGGGCGUAAAGGGUGCGUAGGUGGCAGAUCAAGUCUGGAGUAAAAGGUAUGGGCUCAACCCGUACUGGCUCUGGAAACUGAUCAGCUAGAGAACAGAAGAGGACGGCGGAACUCCAUGUGUAGCGGUAAAAUGCGUAGAUAUAUGGAAGAACACCGGUGGCGAAGGCGGCCGUCUGGUCUGGAUUCUGACACUGAAGCACGAAAGCGUGGGGAGCAAAUAGGAUUAGAUACCCUAGUAGUCCACGCCGUAAACGAUGAGAACUAGGUGUUGGGGGAAUAACUCAGUGCCGCAGUUAACGUAUAAGUAGUCCACCUGGGGAGUACGUUCGCAAGAAUGAAACUCAAAGGAAUUGACGGGGACCCGCACAAGCGGUGGAGCAUGUGGUUUAAUUCGAAGCAACGCGAAGGACCUUACCUGCUCUUGACAUCCCGGUGACCGGCAUGUAAUGAUGCCUUUUCUUCGGAACACCGGUGACAGGUGGUGCAUGGUUGUCGUCAGCUCGUGUCGUGAGAUGUUGGGUUAAGUCCCGCAACGAGCGCAACCCUUAUCUUCAGUAGCCAGCAAUUCGGAUGGGCACUCUGGAGAGACUGCCAGGGAUAACCUGGAGGAAGGUGGGGAUGACGUCAAAUCAUCAUGCCCCUUAUGAGCAGGGCUACACACGUGCUACAAUGGCGUAAACAAAGGGAAGCGAGCCUGCGAGGGUAAGCAAAUCUCAAAAAUAACGUCUCAGUUCGGAUUGUAGUCUGCAACUCGACUACAUGAAGCUGGAAUCGCUAGUAAUCGCGAAUCAGCAUGUCGCGGUGAAUACGUUCCCGGGUC
rnacentral:rRNA from 1 species